rnacentral:SRP_RNA from 1 species
GCCAGGCGUGGUGGCGCACGCCUGUAAUCCCAGCUACUCGGGAGGCUGAGGUGGGAGAAUUGCUGGAACCCAGGAGGCGGAGAUUGCAGUGAGCCGAGAUCGUGCCACUGCACUCCAGCCUGGGUGACAGAGCAAGACUCCGUCUCAA